UUAAAUUGAAGAGUUUGAUCAUGGCUCAGAUUGAACGCUGGCGGCAGGCCUAACACAUGCAAGUCGAACGGUAACAGGAAGCAGCUUGCUGUUUCGCUGACGAGUGGCGGACGGGUGAGUAAUGUCUGGGAAACUGCCUGAUGGAGGGGGAUAACUACUGGAAACGGUAGCUAAUACCGCAUAACGUCGCAAGACCAAAGAGGGGGACCUUCGGGCCUCUUGCCAUCGGAUGUGCCCAGAUGGGAUUAGCUUGUUGGUGGGGUAACGGCUCACCAAGGCGACGAUCCCUAGCUGGUCUGAGAGGAUGACCAGCCACACUGGAACUGAGACACGGUCCAGACUCCUACGGGAGGCAGC
rnacentral:rRNA from 1 species